rnacentral:tRNA from 1 species
GUGGCCGUAGCUCAAAGGUAGAGCCCCGGAAGUGCUUCCGGCCGUUAUGGGUUCAAGUCCCGUCGGUCACCCCA